UACAGAGGGGGCUAGCGUUGUUCGGAAUUACUGGGCGUAAAGGGUGCGUAGGCGGGUCUUUAAGUCAGGGGUGAAAUCCUGGAGCUCAACUCCAGAACUGCCUUUGAUACUGAAGAUCUUGAGUUCGGGAGAGGUGAGUGGAACUGCGAGUGUAGAGGUGAAAUUCGUAGAUAUUCGCAAGAACACCAGUGGCGAAGGCGGCUCACUGGCCCGAUACUGACGCUGAGGUGCGAAAGCGUGGGGAGCAAACAGG
rnacentral:rRNA from 1 species